ACUGCUAUCGGAUUGAUACUAAGCCAUGCGAGUCUUUGUAGCAAUACAAGGCAGACGGCUCAGUAACACGUAGUCAAUCUACCCUAUGGACGAGGAUAACCUCGGGAAACUGAGAAUAAUACUCGAUAGAUCAUAGCUCCUGGAAUGGUUUAUGGUCAAAAUGAUUUAUCGCCGUAGGAUGGGACUGCGGCCUAUCAGUUUGUUGGUGGGGUAAUGGCCCACCAAGACAAUUACAGGUACGGGCUCUGAGAGGAGUGGCCCGGAGAUGGGUACUGAGACACGGACCCAGGCCCUAUGGGGCGCAGCAGGCGAGAAAACUUUGCAAUGUGCGAAAGCACGACAAGGUUAAUCCGAGUGAUUUCUGCUAAAGAAAUCUUUUGUCGGUCGUAGAAUCACCGAUGAAUAAGGGGUGGGCAAGUUCUGGUGUCAGCCGCCGCGGUAAAACCAGCACCUCAAGUGGUCAGGAGGAUUAUUGGGCCUAAAGCAUCCGUAGCCUGUUGUAUCAGUUUUCGGUUAAAUCUAUACGCUCAACGUAUGGGCUGCCGGGAAUACUGUACAGCUAGGGAGUGGGAGAGGUAGACGGUACUCGGUAGGAAGGGGUAAAAUCCUUUGAUCUAUUGAUGACCACCUGUGGCGAAGGCGGUCUACCAGAACACGUCCGACGGUGAGGGAUGAAAGCUGGGGGAGCAAACCGGAUUAGAUACCCGGGUAGUCCCAGCUGUAAACAAUGCAAACUCAGUGAUGCAUUGGCUUGUGGCCAGUGCAGUGCCGCAGGGAAGCCGUUGAGUUUGCCGCCUGGGAAGUACGUACGCAAGUAUGAAACUUAAAGGAAUUGGCGGGGGAGCACCACAAGGGGUGAAG
rnacentral:rRNA from 1 species